rnacentral:rRNA from 1 species
UACGUAGGGGGCAAGCGUUUGUCCGGAUUUAUUGGGCGAAAGAGCGUGUAGGCGCCAGACAGGUCCGUUGUGAAAACUCGAGGCUCAACCUCGAGACGCCGAUGGAAACCGUCUGGCUAGAGUCCGGAGAGGAGAGUGGAAUUCCCGGUGUAGCGGUGAAAUGCGCAGAUAUCGGGAAGAACACCCGUGGCUAAGGCGGCUUGCUGGGCAUGGUCUGACGCUGAGGCGCGAAAGCGUGGGGAGCGAACA